GCCCUCGCGGUGGCUGCCGCAGCGGUCUUACUCCUGCUCAAGCGGGUCACCCACAUUGUGGUGAAGAGCACCAGGCUGCUGCUUGGAUAUUGCCGCCACUACCUCAUUGAAAGCACAGCUGACGGUGCGGGAACGGCCAUGGAAGUCAUAAGUCAGAUACACAUCCCCAGCAGUUCUUUUCAAAGCGUGCUCGUCGCCAGCUUCCUGGGACUCUGUGUUUUGGUGUGCGCCCUGAAGCCGUGGCGACGGCUCUCCCGCAUGCGGGCGCACCGUGCGAGAGCUCCCGCUGUCCCAAGUCGGCUAUCAGCCGGCGAACCGGCUGGCACGGACUUCCUGGAAGACAACGAUCCGCUGAGCUCUGAACAC
rnacentral:lncRNA from 1 species